CCAAAGGCUCUUUUAAGAGGCACCCACUUAUCUAAAGGAGUGUAAU
rfam:Larimichthys crocea isolate SSNF unplaced genomic scaffold scaffold285, whole genome shotgun sequence.